rnacentral:rRNA from 1 species
UGGGGAAUUUUGGGCAAUGGGCGAAAGCCUGACCCAGCAACGCCGCGUGUGGGAUGAAGGCCCUCGGGUCGUAAACCACUGUCAGGAGGAAAGAAAAGUCGGCCGGAUAAUACUCGGUCGACCUGACGGUACCUCCAAAGGAAGCACCGGCUAACUCCGUGCCAGCAGCCGCGGUAAUACGGAGGGUGCAAGCGUUGUUCGGAAUUACUGGGCGUAAAGCGCGUGUAGGUGGUCGAGUAAGUCGAAUGUGAAAGCCCCGGGCUCAACCCGGGAAGUGCAUCCGAAACUGCUCGACUAGAGUCCCGGAGAGGAAGGCAGAAUUCCCAAUGUAGGGGUGAAAUCCGUAGAUAUUGGGAGGAAUACCGGUGGCGAAGGCGGCCUUCUGGACGGUGACUGACACUCAGACGCGAAAGCGUGGGGAGCAAACAGGAUUAGAUACCCAAGUAGUCCCUGAGCGGGCUGGCAAGGCGCAU